rnacentral:rRNA from 1 species
GACGAACGCUGGCGGCGUGCUUAACACAUGCAAGUCGAACGGAAAGGCCCUGCUUUUGUGGGGUGCUCGAUUGGCGAACGGGUGAGUAACACGUGAGUAACCUGCCCUUGACUUUGGGAUAACUUCAGGAAACUGGGGCUAAUACCGGAUAGGAUCUCCUGCUGCAUGGUGUGGGUUGGAAAGUUUCGGCGGUUGGGGCUGUACUCGCGGCUUAUCCGCUUGUUUGUGUGGUAGUUGCUUACCAAGGCUUUGACGGGUAGCCCGCCUGAGAGGGUGAACGGGCACAAUGGGAAUGCGGGAAGGAGCAGAAUGCAAAGGGGGGAAAGGGGGGGGAAAAUGGCGAAACGGGGGGGCGUGAGGUAGAGAGAACGCCGGUGCGGGAAGAAGGGCUUUGGGGUGAGAAAAAAUUUGGAAGGUGACAAAGAGGGAGUGACGGUAAAGGGGAAAAAAGCAACGGCUAAAUACGUG